AAACUUUAUAUUUCACUUUGGUGCCAUCUAUCUUGAUUAAAAGCAUAUUUUUCAACUUUAAUUCAUUUUCAAAAUUGAGAGGCUAACCAUUAAACAUUUUAUCUUAACUAAUCUUGAAGCUUAUCAAUGCAUAUUUCUUUGAGCCACUCAGUAUGAAUAAUGAAUUUAGCUUAGCCAUUGCCCACUGUGUUGUGCUUUAGAAAAUGUUAGACUGGAGAUGCUAUACUGUCUAAGAAUCUUUAUUUCUCAUGUUGUCAUUCUAAACCGAAAUACCGGUUGUGCCAAUGAAGUGGCAAAUCAUGUCUUAUAAAAUUAGAUGCAGAGAUUUGCCCUGUUUUUGCAUUUUGUUGAAUGGUUUCCAUCCAAUUUAUUCUUCUUAUAAUGGUUGUGAUUUUUAUGUUGGACAUCUACAGGCUGCCAAAGAAGCAAGGCAUGAUAAGGAGGCUCUGGUGAAAUUUUUCUGCAUGUUGAUCAGGAGAAGAUAUUUCUCAGAUGAAAUACAAAUACCUUCACCAGCAUGGUCCAUUCCUUCUGUUCAGAGACAAGCUCAGCGUAUAGAUGAAAAUUUCACAGAAGAUGAUCAAUCUUAUAAUACAAGGCUAAGGUGAUUAAGGAAUAUCCAAGGCAUCACUGAAGUACAACGUUGAUGACCUUAAUGGCAGCAAUACAAGCCACAGUCUAUGCCUUCUGUUUUGAGACAGAUUUGAGUCAAUGGAAGUUGGGUUCAGGGAAUUGUGGCCAUUGGAUUAGUGAACAUUGCCACUUCAUGGUGUGUACGGAACAGAGGUCCAUUGUUUGCAUCUAUUUUCUACCCCUUUUGCCUUGUACUCGUGACUUUUGCUAGUUUCCUGUUAUUAGAAGAGCACCUAUACUUAGGAAGAAAAAUUGUUGGCAAGUGAUAACUUUUGUAUAAGAGUACCAGAAGUACAGCUACAGUGCAGUGGAGACUACCUGUCCAAUUAACGACACUCAGAACUAUCAGAGGAAUAUUUGAGAUUAAAAGCAAGGGAACCUACUCAGGGAAAAUCUUGCCCAAAUGAAUACAAAUGAGCUUGAGCUGCUGAAGAAUCAACUGGAGGCAGCACUAAGGAAUAUUAGGUCAACAAUUGUAAGCUUCAAUUUCAAUAAUCAACAUUCUAUGUUAGUUUGCACUUCUCAAAGAUCAGUUUUAUUGCAAAAGAAAAGGAACUUUUGGGGAUGUUUAAUUAUUUCUAAAGUAUAUUACUCUUGUUAAAUUUCUUGAUUAGUUAGCUUGGAUUAAUUAGUGUUCUUUCCCUUUACAAAUGCUUUUGCAUCUCUUUUCUUUUAUGUUUUCUCUUUUGAUAAGAAAAUAUAUUAUUUGCUACUCCAUUUCAUUAUUCUAUUUUUUGUUUUUUAAAACAAAAAAUUAAGAUUACGUCAUUAUUUAAAUUCUAAGUAAAUUAUUAAAGCAUGUUGCGAAAUUAUGGAGCCAAUUAGGUGACCCAUAAGUUUAUGUUUAUUAAUUAACAGUAAGAUUUAUGUCGAUAUUAUUUUCAUUGAUUUUUUUAAAAAUGUUAUGAUUUUUAUCUACUCAUGUGUGUGUGUUAAUUUAUACUUUUAUAGUAUUUUUUUUAUUAAAAUCAUCAUAAUCUCAAGAAUGAUAUUAAAUAACCUGAUAUUAUGCAAUUUUUUUUUGUCUAAAAACAAGUAUACUUCAUAAAGUAAUGUCAGUAUAGAGCUUAAACUAUUAAUUAUUGUAGUUUGAAAUAUAGUUGUCACUGGAAAAUUUUAUUUUAACUUCAAUUAGAUUUGUAACAAAAAAUAAUAAAUGAAUCCAAUGGAAAAAUGUAUUUUUAUAUUUUUAAUUUUUAAAAGAGGAACAAUUUUAGUUUUUUUUAGCCAGACAUAGCCGGGUAAGAUAACUAGUUAUAAUUACAAGGAUAUAACUAUAGAAUAUAUAUUAAGAAGCUAAGAAUUUUCAGAAGCAAAAAGAAAAAAAAAAAAAAAAGGAAGCUAAGAAUUUUCUUUGGUAAUGAUCCAAAUGCAUUUACUAGUCUAAGCUACCUACCUUGCCAAUGUUACAAUUAUUACUUCCUAUACCCUUUUUUCUCUCUAUCAUGGUAUGUUUUAGAAUCUAUUAUCAGCAAGGAAACGAUGAGUAGCGCCACCUUUAAGGUUGCUGUGUUGGGAAGUGGAAGUAGUGCCUCCUUCGGUUAGCAAGUCUGAAGUGUUACGUCUGGUUCAAGAGUGGAAAUCAAGGGGUUUCGUAGCUAAAUGGAAAUAGAAGUUUGCCUCGUUUGAUUUUCACACCCUUAAAUUCAACAACAUAGAACAGGUUGACAAGUAAUAUUUGUAUGCUUAAAUUGCUUUCUGCAGUAUAAAUGGUGUAUAUUCUUUAUGCAGUGUAAUUGCUUGAUUGGAUCUUAUUAUCACAGUGUAUCUUCCUCUA